CACGAACCGUACGACCGUUAUUCGGAAUUACUGGGCUUAAAGGGUUUGUAGGCGGCCAUGUAAGUGGGGUGUGAAAGCCCUCGGCUCAACCGAGGAAUAGCGCUCCAAACUGUAUGGCUUGAGGGAGACAGGGGUAAGCGGAACUGAUGGUGGAGCGGUGAAAUGCGUUGAUAUCAUCAGGAACACCGGUGGCGAAAGCGGCUUACUGGGUCUCUUCUGACGCUGAGAAACGAAAGCUAGGGUAGCGAACGGG
rnacentral:rRNA from 1 species